rnacentral:misc_RNA from 1 species
UACAGAGGGUGCGAGCGUUGUCCGGAAUCACUGGGCGUAAAGGGCGCGUAGGCGGCUUCAUAAGCGUGCGGUGAAAGCCCGGAGCUCAACUCCGGGUCGGCCGUGCGAACUGUGGGGCUCGAGCACUGUAGAGGCAGAUGGAAUUCCGGGUGUAGCGGUGGAAUGCGUAGAGAUCCGGAAGAACACCGGUGGCGAAGGCGGUCUGCUGGGCAGUGGCUGACGCUGAGGCGCGACAGCGUGGGGAGCAAACAGG